UCAGGAGGUGGCGGUGGCUCAGAGCAUGCCAGGCCUCGGGACCAAUCUCAACACCAAAGUAAAUCCGCAGGAAGCCAGAGGCUGUUCAGUGCUCCUUUACCCAGCCUCCUCCACGGAUGGGCCAGGAGAUGGUUCAAAGGCGGAACUUGGAACAGGUAGCCCG